rnacentral:rRNA from 1 species
UACGGAGGGUGCAAGCGUUAUCCGGAUUUACUGGGUUUAAAGGGUGCGCAGGCGGAUAUGUAAGUCAGGGGUGAAAUCUUUGGGCUUAACCCGAAAAUUGCCAUUGAUACUAUAUAUCUUGAAUGCUGUGGAGGUAAGCGGAAUAUGUCAUGUAGCGGUGAAAUGCUUAGAGAUGACAUAGAACACCUAUUGCGAAGGCAGCUUACUACGCAGAUAUUGACGCUCAUGCACGAAAGCGUGGGGAUCAAACAGG